AUUGAACGCUGGCGGCAGGUCUAACACAUGCAAGUCGAGCGGAUGAAGGGAGCUUGCUCCUGGAUUCAGCGGCGGACGGGUGAGUAAUGCCUAGGAAUCUGCCUGGUAGUGGGGGAUAACGUCCGGAAACGGGCGCUAAUACCGCAUACGUCCUGAGGGAGAAAGUGGGGGAUCUUCGGACCUCACGCUAUCAGAUGAGCCUAGGUCGGAUUAGCUAGUUGGUGGGGUAAAGGCCUACCAAGGCGACGAUCCGUAACUGGUCUGAGAGGAUGAUCAGCCACCCUGGAACUUGGGCACGGUCCAGACUCCUACGGGAGGGAGCAGUGGGGAAUAUUGGACAAUGGGCGGAAGCCUGAUCCAGGCAUGGCGCGUGUGUGAAGAAGGUCUUCGGAUUGGAAAGCACUUUAAGUUGGGAGGAAGGGCAGUAAGUUAAUACCUUGCUGGUUUGACGUUACCAACAGAAUAAGCACCGGCUAACUUCGUG
rnacentral:rRNA from 1 species